rnacentral:rRNA from 1 species
UAGUCUGGGAUACCACUCGGAAACAGGUGCUAAUACCGGAUAAGAAAGCGGAUCGCAUGAUCAGCUUUUAAAAGGCGGCGUAAGCUGUCUCUAUGGGAUGGCCCCGCGGUGCAUUAGCUAGUUGGUAAGGUAAAGGCUUACCAAGGCGAUGAUGCAUAGCCGAGUUGAGAUACUGAUCGGCCACAUUGGGACUGAGACACGGCCCAAACUCCUACGGGAGGCAGCAGCU